rnacentral:rRNA from 1 species
GCUUGUCUCAAAGAUUAAGCCAUGCACGUGUCAGUAUAAGCUUUUAUACGGUGAAACUGCGAAUGGCUCAUUAAAUCAGUUAUAGUUUAUUUGAUGGUUCCUUUACUUGGAUAACCCGAGUAAUUCUCUGGCUAACAAAUGCAGAAGACCCCGACUUCUGGGAGGGGUGUAUUUAUUAGAUGGAAACCAAUGCGGGGCAACCCGGUAUAUGGUGAUUCAUAAUAACUUUCGGAUCGAUCUUCGGAUCGAUGCAUCAUUCAAGUUUCUGCCCUAUCAGCUUUGGAUGGUAGGGUAUUGGCCUACCAUGGCUUUAACGGGUAACGGAGAAUUAGGGUUCGAUUCCGGAGAGGGAGCCUGAGAAAUGGCUACCACAUCCAAGGAAGGCAGCAGG